CAGAACUUCUCAAAGACGGCCCCAGUUUUCUUAGAUAGCGCUGUUUUUUUGUUUUUUUCCCUCCCAUGUAAAGCCCUUCGGAAACUUAGGUGAACGCCAGCUUGGAAUUUUGUCCCACCCCCCUGCCGCGGGCCGAAUGAUGGUGUCUCCUCCAAAUUCAUGUGUUGAAGCCCUAACCCCCGUGUGUGGGUGUUUGCAGGUGGCCUCUGGUCUCCACGUCAGCAUCCGAAGCCUCUGUGUCCUGAAGGCGCACUCCGAGGAGACGGUUUGCCACCAAAGCUUAAAGCCAGGUGUCAAUAAACCCACUGGGGACCAGGCCGGACGGACUUUGGAAGAAAAGGUGCUGCGUGCCCUUCAGCAGUUCCAGCGAAAGACCCAUCAGUUGGUGCCUCAGUCCCCUGGGCUUCCAGCCAAGCACACCUGACUGGAUUAAUGAGCAUCUGGUUGGGGAAGAAAAGUAGCCAGAGGCGGCAGGACAUUUGUGAGAGAAGCGGGGGACACCAUUCACCAGCAAGAACAGCAGCAUAAGCCGGCGUGAACUCCAACCAUCCUGGGCAAGUGCCCGGGGGUCCCCUGGCUUGGAACCAGUUGAAGCUGAUUAUGAGAGAUUCCACUGUCAUGCUGCAACCAAGCAAAAACACAAUAUGCACAGUUGCUAGAAAAGUCACCCCUCCGUUGACUGUUGUCUGUGUGCAUCAGAAAGGUGAUGCCACAGACCUGUGGUGAGGGCAAGGUGGAAUGAGACAAGAGUGACAGUUUGGCGUGGAGGGUGGCAUUUGGCUACGUAAGGACACAGCGCGGACCCAAUUACAACUGAGGCCAGAGCCAUUAUAUCCCAGGGUCAAAACGGGGACCCUGCUGUUCCCCUGCUCCAAGCCUCUAAGCAGUCCCCAUGGUUGACUGAGAGAAGCAGGCCACCUGCACUGAAGACUUGCUCUCCGGGCCCCAUCCUGGAAGCACAGGCCUCCUCCCAGCUGGCCUCCAGGAUGUCUCACCCCUGCGCCUCUGCUCCAUGGUGUAUGGAAGUUCCCAGGCUAGGGGUUGAAUUGAAGCUGCAGCUCAGACUCAGCCAGAUCUGAGCCACAUCUGCCACCAACACCACAGCUCACGGCAACACUGGAUCCUUAACCCACUGAGCAAGGCCAGGGAUGCUAGUUGGGUUCGUUACUACCGAGCCACCACGGGAGCUCCAGGUGAUCCUUUUGAGGAAAGGAAUUGAGGUUAUUUAAUUGGGGGAGGGUCAGGAGUGCCUGAGCCCCGUCUUGACGUGGUUAUCAAGGUUGGGAAAGAUGUUGUCUGCUCGUCUCCUGUUUUUGCAAAAAGCCACUCAGAUUGAGUUCCAGGAAGGACUGUCUUGCAUGAUGACACAUUUCGGCCGGGUCCCUAUUUGUGACAGACCCAGGGGAGCAAGCUAGAUUCCAGGGCGAAGCGGCUAAUUCCAACUGGGACGGGGCACUUCAGACGCCAGCCUCCUCUCUGAAGGGGACGCUGGGACAGUCUGGGGAGAGAAACCCGAGGCCUUCGGUUUGUGAACAAGCUGGCGGGAACCGCCAGGACGAAGGUGUGGCGAGCGGCCCAGGACAGGGAGGCGGGAAUCUAAAGCUGAUGCGACAGAGACUCGACCCUCUGCUCUGCUUCUGCUUGAAGGUGGGUGGGCGACAGCUGUGGCAGGGGGACACCACUGGACAGACAGGCACUCUCGUGAUCCUCAGCGCCUUGGAGCCUAGAGGGGCAGGGAGGGUCCUGUCGGGGCCAGAUGUCCUUAAGAAGAGACAGAAAAAGAACCUCUGCGUGCCCACUACGGGACGGAAGUCGCCUCCCUCCCCUCCUUCCUUCCCUCCGAUUCAUUCAUUCAUUCCUUCGACCUGAGCCUCGGUGCUGUGGCAGCUGCCAGCACAGAAGCAGAGCAGGGAAAGAUGAGAGGCGAGGCGGAUGAACAAGUGCAUUGUGGGGCCGUAUGGUAAGUUCUAGGAGAGAGGCAAGCCUGGGGCAGGGGGCUUCCACCAGCCCGGGAGCAUGGGGUCUGGGAAACCAGACUUCCUGGGGAGAGGGGCCUUAAAGAUGAUGGGGGUGGUGGGCGACUAUAGCAGCCACGCCCCCGAUGGUAGGUGCAGGUGCUGCUCCCUGCAGGGGACAUGCCUUCCAUGGUCUGCCUUCCCUGCUCCUUUUCCAGCCGUGGGCACUACCGCUCUCUCUUUGGGAGUUUGUGCACAGGGUGGGGAACUCAAGCCGAGAGAAGAGGGGAGGGGCCCCAGGGGAGGGGCAGGGAAGAGCCCCGCUGGGUACCUGACGACAGGUGUUCAGGAAGGACUUCAGGCCGGGCUGCAUCCGGAGGACUCCGGAGGAUGGAGCUGACCCUGCGGGCUGCGGUGCUCCUUGCAGGAAAAGGCGGGGGGUCAGUGGCGAUCUUGAAGCCAGUGGGUGACGAGGUAUGGGUCACUCUUCAGAGAGGUGCGUGGAGGCUGCGUGGAGGGGUUCUGGAGGAAGUGAACAAGGAGGAGCUGGUCAGGGAGGAGGACUGGAGCGAGCAGGCCCGUCACACACCCCAUCAGCCCCAGCCCUGGUCCCGACGAGGACACCGAGGUUCAGGGUGGACCUCGGAAUCACGGCUGGCAUGUCGCAGGAUUCCAGGGCAGUUUUCUUGACUCUGAGGGGAGCGGGCUCUCCAGCAGGCCGCAGAACCUUCGGCUGGGUGAUUUUUGCCGAAGCCUUUGGCCCCGGCCCUGCAGCCUGCCAUUGGCUCUCUUUCAGGGUCACGGGAGGGAGAAACCCUUUGCUCUGAACGUUUGUUUCCCUUCCUGUUUCGCUUCAGUGGACAUUACAGGCUCUGAAUGGGGAGCCUGAGCCCCUGGCUCCCAUGGGCUGGUGGUUCGGAAAGCAAAGCAGCGCACGCGUGUGGCCGGCCACGCUGGCCGGGCUGCGGUCCCCAGAGGACACUCGGUCCACAGCAGACACCCCCCCGCCGCCCCCUGCCACCGCCUGCCCACCCCACACAUGCUCAGGGCAGAUCUCUGACAGGGAGGCUUUCUGCAAGCCCAGUCUCCUCGGGGCUGUGCUGUCUGGCCCGCAGGACUCAGUGGAUUCUCUUUUACUGAAAUACGCAUUUCAGAUAUUUUGUGGCUUCUCGUACAUUUUGUUUAAAAUGAGUUGAAGUUGGAACCUACGAGAGAUAUUUGAAAAAUCUUCCUUAAACACUGAAAAAAAAAAAAAAAAAAAAAAAA
rnacentral:lncRNA from 1 species